UAUGUAACAGGUGGUACUUGGUUCGACCAGAUUAAACAAAAUGGACACUAGUGUCUCAAAUGUAUGCUGGAGAUGCUUAAGGGCGGUUUAGAGCUAUCUUCACAUAUGGUGGAGUUGCCCAAAAGUGAAAACUAUAUGGGGUCAGGUUUAUAAAAUACUUUAUGAUAUGGAUAAGAUUAAAAUUGAAAAAAGCUUGAUAACAGCAUUACUGCAUAUGGGCGGGCCUAAUUUAUCAACAUCAAAUUAAUUUUUGGUAACACAUAGUUUCCUAGCUG
rnacentral:lncRNA from 1 species